GCGCCGCAGGGACUUGUGGGAGGUGCCGCCGGCUCUCUCCGCGCAAGCGCAAUAGGACCCGGCAGCAGGCUCGGCGGGGCGUGCGGGUGCAGAGCAGCUUGGCCUCCUUAACACCCUGACCCUGCCCACCAGGAAGAAGAGAUGACCAAUUCCCAGUCAUGACUGCUCCAUGCUCAUUUAUAUACUCAAGUUGAGGACUGCAGUCAGUCCUACCUGCUGGAGGAGGGGAAAAAUCAGUGUGCACUGGGGUGAUUGAG